CCAUGACCCCAGCUGAAGGCAGAUGCUUAACCAACUGAGCUACCCAGGUGCCCCGCUCAGUGUGCUAGAACUUCUCUGCUAGACUCCUGGACUUUCAUAAAGGCUCUGCAGGUGAUUGUCUAAGACAGUGUUCUUAACGGGCUUCCAGACCACAGCCAAGAGGGACUGGAGCUGGUUUAUGGACCACUGGAGGGGACAUAGCCAAGACUAAGGUAACCAUUAAGAAUAGCUAUCAAGAAUGAAGGGGAGUAAGUCGGAGGCGGAGACGAACCAUGAGAGACGAUGGACUCUGAAAAACAAACUGAG